rnacentral:ribozyme from 1 species
UUUUUUUUUUUUUUUUUUUUUUUUUUUUUUUUUUUUUCGGAA